CUUUUCUUGUUAGUUUUUGAAGUAUGGCCUGCCCGCUGACUUGAGUGUUGAAGGGCCGCGGUAUUUUGACCGUGCAAAGGUAGCAUAAUCAUUAGUUCUUUAAUUGUGAUCUGGAAUGAAUGGCUUGACGAGSCACAAGCUGUCUUAAUGUUGAAUGUUUUAUUGAAUUUGGUUUUUGAGUUAAAAUUCUUAGAUGUUUUUGUGGGACGAGAAGACCCUAUAGAGUUUAACAUUUGGUUUAUUUGUUUGUUUGUUGUUUGUUUGUUUUGUUGGUGAGUGGACUUUUUGUUUUGUUGGGGUGAUGGGAGGAAUAUAAUUAACUCCUCCUUGAUUUUGGUUAUAUUG
rnacentral:rRNA from 1 species